GCAGCCUAUGAGGCGGCGCCCGAACCCGCCCCAGGCUCAGAUCGACCAACAGACCGAGGCCUGAACAUCCACCUCGCUCACCAGUGCUCAUUUUCAGCAUCGCAUCCAUCUCCAUUUGGAUGAGUGCUCCAGGCGAGUCGUCCUGCUGCAGGCCAGAUCGGGACCCCUUGCAUCACCUCGCCCCAUUGGUCGACACUGCGCCAAGGGAACAUGAUGGGAGGGUGAUGUCUUCUGAGGUUUACAUCCUUGGUCAUCUUAUCUGAAGCUAAUGUUGUUGUUUUGCGUAAUCUGCUCAUGCAAGAAUCAAGCACUUCUACAAAAAGGAGGCACAGCAGGUGUUUUCCCGAUUUGCAGAACCUCUGGCUUCCAAGUUAACUGAUCAGCUUCAUAGAGACAAGCAAUAAAAGGAUCGUCUAGCUGGAGAUACUGUAAAUCCUGCUGCUACAUAAUUACAAAUUGUAUCCGUGCAUGACUUGUAUCCAUGGAAAUUUCUGGAGGGCAUCUCUUACACGAUACAUAUAUUUCACGACAUAGUUUCUUAUGGUGCAACACGCCUGAAAACAGAUGAAAUGGAUUACACCUUUGAUAACUA